rnacentral:lncRNA from 1 species
GUCAAUUUUGAGACGUUUUCUUCACAAUGACAAUAUCUGCUUCUCUUGCUGUGCCGUUCUCUGGAGCUUGGCUGUGAGUGGUUGCUUAGCUGACAGUGACUAUGAGCCCACAGCAGCACUUCUGCUGGAUGCACUCAGGAUGAACCCAGAAAGAAAAAGGCUGGUGCAGAAUGGCUGCCUAGCUUUAGCCACCCUUGUGAGGCUCUCAGAAACUGCAGCUUUGGCAAUUCUGCUGGACUCCAAGGGCAGUGGAACAGAGCUGAUCAAACAGGAAUAUCACCUUCAUUCCCACGAGCCAGCAGUGGCAGAGGCUCUGUGCCUGCUCAUGAACGAGAUGGUUCAGUAUGAUGAGGUUAUGCUGAAUAUGAGGUCCCACAAAAUGGAAAAGCUGUUGUCUGAAAUAAAAUUCCAGUUUCCAUUCAGCACGGUAUGGAGAAGUCUCUGUGAUAAUAAAAUAUAUUAAUGUAUUAUUUCUGGUGAGGGAUUUGAUCAUAGUGCAGAAAUUUAGAGAAUUAGCUGCAUGUGGAGUGAAGAGUGAGUUUGUAAGGAUAGUUCUAAU